rnacentral:rRNA from 1 species
GUGGGGAAUUUUGGACAAUGGGCGCAAGCCUGAUCCAGCAAUGCCGCGUGCAGGAAGAAGGCCUUCGGGUUGUAAACUGCUUUUGUACGGAACGAAACGGUCCUGGUUAAUACCUGGGGCUAAUGACGGUACCGUAAGAAUAAGCACCGGCUAACUACGUGCCAGCAGCCGCGGUAAUACGUAGGGUGCGAGCGUUAAUCGGAAUUACUGGGCGUAAAGCGUGCGCAGGCGGUGCUGUAAGACAGGCGUGAAAUCCCCGGGCUCAACCUGGGAAUUGCGCUUGUGACUGCAGUGCUGGAGGACGGCAGAGGGGGAUGGAAUUCCGCGUGUAGCAGUGAAAUGCGUAGCUAUGCGGAGGAACACCGAUGGCGAAGGCAGUCCCCUGGGCCUGUACUGACGCUCAUGCACGAAAGCGUGGGGAGCAAACAGGAUUAGAAACCCUGGUAGUCC